UAAGAGUAAGGAUAUCGUACCCGAGGACCAAGAAUAGGAGUACUCCAUACUCGCGUUAAGGUGAGUAAUCAGAUGAUCAUCUUAACUAUCUAAAAUAGUUUAUACUCGUUUUUAUGAUUCUAAAGAAUGAUGAGUUUUAAAUGGUAAAUUAUUAUGUUUCAAAAGUGAAAAGUGUUUGUGUGGAAUAUAUGAAUUGUUUUGUUUGGCCUUGAUAGGCUAGGUAAUAUCAUAUUAGCCAUGUCAUAUUGUCGAAAUUUUUAUUGAUUUGGUGGGAUAAUUGAUUAGCUUACUGUAGUGGGCGAUUUCCAUGGACCAGCCUAUGAGAGGGGCACGGUAAAUCCCGUUAUAUUUUACCUUGGUACGAGAGGCGCGGAGGGUAUCUCCUAAGGUAACGUUAGAGUUCACUUCACACCAAACCACCACGUGAUGGUGAAACUCAGCCAAUGCCAAGGAAUGGCUGUGCUUUUAAAUGUAAAAAUAAUGAGUUUUAUACUAAUAUGUUAUGUUAACAACCUUGGCGGACUCGGUUGGAUGCCCCGACGUAAGGUGUCACUAAGUGCAAAUCUUGGCAAGAGCCAAGUUUUUACGAGAAUCAUAAGCCAAAUUGAUUUAUAUGAAAUGAAAUGAGAUUUGAUGCUAUGAAUCCUAUUAUGAUGAGAUAUUUUAAAUUGUCUCCACUUACUCGGCUUUAGAUGUUCUAGAUGGACUUUGCUUACUCACUGGGUUUAUAAAAACUCACCACCCUCCUUUCACACAUUUCAGGCUCAAGGAAAUCUUUAGACCGUCGAUUUUGUCGAGGGUUUGCUGUUGGAUUCGCACCCUUAGAAAUCGCAGGUUUACAAUUGUGUUUAUUUUGGUUAUUUUGGGACCCACAUGUCAUUGUAGAAUAUUUUGUAUACUUGGCUACGUCUGCCACUGUAUAUAUGAAUUUAUU
rnacentral:lncRNA from 1 species